rnacentral:rRNA from 1 species
UGAGGAAUAUUGGUCAAUGGACGCGAGUCUGAACCAGCCAAGUAGCGUGAAGGAUGACUGCCCUAUGGGUUGUAAACUUCUUUUAUAAGGGAAUAAAGUGAGGGACGUGUCCCUUUUUGUAUGUACCUUAUGAAUAAGGAUCGGCUAACUCCGUGCCAGCAGCCGCGGUAAUACGGAGGAUCCAAGCGUUAUCCGGAUUUAUUGGGUUUAAAGGGAGCGUAGGUUGACAUAUAAGUCAGCUGUGAAAGUUUACGGCUCAACCGUGAAAUUGCAGUUGAUACUGUAUGUCUUGAGUGUACAAGAGGUGGGCGGAAUUCGUGGUGUAGCGGUGAAAUGCUUAGAUAUCACGAAGAACUCCAAUUGCGAAGGCAGCUCACUGGGGUACAACUGACACUGAGGCUCGAAAGUGUGGGUAUCAAACA